rnacentral:rRNA from 1 species
GAUGAACGCUGGCGGCGUGCCUAAUACAUGCAAGUCGAGCGAACAGACGAGGAGCUUGCUCCUCUGACGUUAGCGGCGGACGGGUGAGUAACACGUGGAUAACCUACCUAUAAGACUGGGAUAACUUCGGGAAACCGGAGCUAAUACCGGAUAAUAUAUUGAACCGCAUGGUUCAAUAGUGAAAGACGGUUUUGCUGUCACUUAUAGAUGGAUCCGCGCCGCAUUAGCUAGUUGGUAAGGUAACGGCUUACCAAGGCAACGAUGCGUAGCCGACCUGAGAGGGGGAGCGGCAACAGGGGAAAGGAGACCGGGACAAGACCACGGGGGGGGGGAGAAGGGGGAAUUCUCCAGAAAGGGCGAAAACCCGGAGGGCGCAGGCCGGGGGGAGGGAGAAGGGUCUUCGAAUCUAAAAACUUUUUUAUUGGGGAAAAAAAAUGGUGAAAGAAACUAUGCGCGUUUGGAGGUAACAUAAUAGAAAGCCCAGGUCAACUUACGUG